rnacentral:rRNA from 1 species
AUUGAACGCUGGCGGCAGGCCUAACACAUGCAAGUCGAGCGGUAGAGAGGUGCUUGCACCUCUUGAGAGCGGCGGACGGGUGAGUAAAGCCUAGGAAUCUGCCUGGUAGUGGGGGAUAACGCUCGGAAACGAACGCUAAUACCGCAUACGUCCUACGGGAGAAAGCAGGGGACCUUCGGGCCUUGCGCUAUCAGAUGAGC